rnacentral:rRNA from 1 species
UACGUAGGGUGCGAGCGUUAAUCGGAAUUACUGGGCGUAAAGCGUGCGCAGGCGGCGCGUUAAGACAGGUGUGAAAGCCCCGAGCUUAACUUGGGAAUUGCGCUUGUGACUGGCGUGCUGGAGUGUGGCAGAGGGAGGUGGAAUUCCACGUGUAGCAGUGAAAUGCGUAGAGAUGUGGAGGAAUACCGAUGGCGAAGGCAGCCUCCUGGGAUAACACUGACGCUGAGGCACGAAAGCGUGGGGAGCAAACAGG